CGUUGAUAGGCAGGGUGUGUAAGCGUUGUGAGGCGUUGAGCUAACCUGUACUAAUGACUCGUGAGGCUUAACCAUACAACCCAGAUGGGUUUUG
rnacentral:rRNA from 1 species